AUGCAGUUGACGAGUCCCAAAAAUAGAACGAAACGCGCGUUCUGGAU
rfam:Schistosoma mansoni strain Puerto Rico chromosome 2, complete genome